rnacentral:rRNA from 1 species
ACCCGCUGAACUUAAGCAUAUCAAUAAGCGGAGGAAAAGAAACCAACAGGGAUUGCCCUAGUAACGGCGAGUGAAGCGGCAACAGCUCAAAUUUGAAAUCUGGCGCAAGCCCGAGUUGUAAUUUGUAGAGGAUGCUUCUAGGUAGCGACCGGUCUAAGUUCCUUGGAACAGGACGUCAUAGAGGGUGAGAAUCCCGUAUGUGACUGGCCCGCACCUUCUACGUAGCUCCUUCGACGAGUCGGGUUGUUUGGGAAUGCAGCUCUAAAUGGGAGGUAAAUUUCUUCUAAAGCUAAAUACCGGCCAGAGACCGAUAGCGCACAAGUAGAGUGAUCGAAAGAUGAAAAGCACUUUGGAAAGAGAGUUAAAAAGCACGUGAAAUUGUUGAAAGGGAAGCGCUCACAACCAGACUUCUAGGCAGUGUUCCGCCGGUCUUUUGACCGGUCUACUCUCUGUCUCGAGGCCAACAUCAUCUGGGACCGCCGGAUAAGACCUUAGGAAUGUAGCUCCCCUCGGGGAGUGUUAUAGCCUCUGGUGAUGCGGCGCGUCUCGGGUGAGGUCCGCGCUUCGGCAAGGAUGUUGGCGUAAUGGUUGUCAGCGGCCCGUCUUGAAACACGGACCAAGGAGUCUAACAUCUAUGCGAGUGUUCGGGUGUCAAACCCCUACGCGUAAUGAAAGUGAACGGAGGUGGGAAGCGUAAGCUGCACCAUCGACCGAUCCUGAUGUCCUCGGAUGGAUUUGAGUAAGAGCAUAGCUGUUGGGACCCGAAAGAUGGUGAACUAUGCCUGAAUAGGGUGAAGCCAGAGGAAACUCUGGUGGAGGCUCGCAGCGGUUCUGACGUGCAAAUCGAUCGUCAAAUUUGGGUAUAGGGGCGAAAGACUAAUCGAACCAUCUAGUAGCUGGUUCCUGCCGAAGUUUCCCUCA